AGUCUAGAUCUGGCGAGACGUACACCUGAUGCUAAUCAUAGUGGUCAGCUACGCGGCGACAGUGCUGUCUAGCUCCAGCGACUCCUUUAUUCUACGUCACUCCUUGAUUAAUCUAGAGGGCAAACGACGUUGCAAACUGGAGUCCAGCUAUGCACUCUCAAGGAAAUGGUAAGAAAGACCCUUCCGAUCGAUCGCCUUCCAGUCGGUCUGCGGGAAGAGGGAGGAAAGGAUGGGUGACCUCUGACCUCACAGCUGCAGUGCAGCGCGCUCGCACCGGAUCAAGAUGGAGGAUGCGCUAACCUGUUCUGAUGUGAUUGAGGGAGGCCAGCAUUCGCAGCAUGAAGGACGCAGGUACUGUGAUUGUGUUCCUCGUCUCCUCCAGCAUCAGCUCGUUGCGUGUGAUCACCUGUAGGGAAGGCACCACGACAAGAGGUCAAAGGUGAACAAAGAGCAAUGGACAGCAAAUGGUGGCCGUAGAACAUGCACUCAGGGCAGGUCGCCUUAGAACAUGCACUUCAUUAUGCAAAAUAUGUCUUUAUGGCAGUUUUCUGGUGCAGAAACCACAAGAGACUCCAAUAUGUCAGCAGACCGAACAACUGCAUGGUUAUGCUCUGAAAUGUUCCAGAAAUAUAUUUUACAUUUUAUGCAUUUA